GAUGAACGCUGGCGGCGUGCCUAAUACAUGCAAGUCGAGCGAACCGAUGAGGAGCUUGCUCCUCUGACGUUAGAGGCGGACGGGUGCGUAACUCGUUGACAACCUACCUAUCAGACUGGGAUACCUUCGGGAAACCGGAGCUACUUCCGGAUAAUAUAUUGAACCUCAUGGUUCAAUCGUUAAAGACGGUUUUGCUGACGCUUCUAGCUGGAUCCGGCCCGUAUCCGCUAGUUGGUAGGGUAGCGGCUUACCAAGGCAAUGACGGGUAGCCGACCUGAGAGGGUGAUCGGCCACACGGGAACUGAGAAACGGUCCAGACUCCUACGGUAGGCAGCAGUAGGGAAUCUUCCGCAAGGGGCGAAAGCCGGACGGAGCAACGCCGCGGAAGUGAUGAAGGUCUACGGAUCGUAAAGCUCUGUUAGUAGGGAAGAACAAAUGGGUAAGUAACUAGGCACGUCUUGACGGUACCGAAUCAGAAAGCCACGGCUAACUACGUG
rnacentral:rRNA from 1 species